CAAGGAGUAGUUUUAAUUAAAAUAUAAACUUUGGGAGUUUAAGAAAAGAGUUUUUCUUUUCCUUGA